rnacentral:rRNA from 1 species
UACAGAGGGGGCUAGCGUUGUUCGGAAUUACUGGGCGUAAAGGGCGCGUAGGUGGCCUGUUAAGUCGAACGUGAAAUCCCCGGGCUCAACCCGGGAACUGCGCCCGAGACUGGCAGGCUCGAAUCCGGGAGAGGGAUGUGGAAUUCCAGGUGUAGCGGUGAAAUGCGUAGAUAUCUGGAGGAACACCGGUGGCGAAGGCGGCAUCCUGGACCAACACUGACACUGAGGAGCGAAAGCCAGGGGAGCAAACGGG